GCCUCAUUAGCUCAGUGGUUAGAGCACUGGUCUAGUAAACGAGGGGUCCGGAGUUCGAAUCUCUGAUGAGGCU
rnacentral:tRNA from 1 species